rnacentral:rRNA from 1 species
AUUGAACGCUGGCGGCAGGCCUAACACAUGCAAGUCGAGCGGAUGAAGGGAGCUUGCUCCUGGAUUAAGCGGCGGACGGGUGAGUAAUGCCUAGGAAUCUGCCUGGUAGUGGGGGAUAACGUCCGGAAACGGGCGCUAAUACCGCAUACGUCCUGAGGGAGAAAGUGGGGGAUCUUCGGACCUCACGCUAUCAGAUGAGCCUAGGUCGGAUUAGCUAGUUGGUGGGGUAAAGGCGUACCAAGGCGACGAUCCGUAACUGGUCUGAGAGGAUGAUCAGUCACACUGGAACUGAGACACGGUCCAGACUCCUACGGGAGGCAGCAGUAGGGAAUAUUGGACAAUGGGCGAAAGCCUGAUCCAGCCAUGCCGCGUGUGUGAAGAAGGUCUUCGGAUUGUAAAGCACUUUAAGUUGGGAGGAAGGGCAGUAAGUUAAUGCCUUGCUGUUUUGACGUUACCAACAGAAUAAGCACCGGCUAACUUCGUG